AGUUCUCUCGCGACCUCUAGCCACUUCCGGUUGCUAACGGUUCCCAAACAGCCCCCGAAAACGCUACGUGAGCUGGGCCCUGGGCCAGAGGCAGAAAACGGACGGAAGAAAAGGUCUGGCCGGAGAUGGGUCUCACUCUGUCACCCAGACUGGAGUGCAGUGAGUGGUGCGAUCAUAGCUUACUGCAGCCUGAAACUCCUGGGCUCAAGUGAUCUUCUCGCCUCAGCCUCCUGAGUAGCUGGAGCUACAGGUUUUUAAGCACAAGCCCAGCCUGCUUUCUGGAUGACACCUGCCACAGGUCAUCCUUCCUGAAUUUCCUAAAUAGCCCAGAAUAUUCUUCAAGCAUGCCCCUGGCUCAUCAUCCAACUUCAGAGAAUCAACUGGCUAGCACCUUGGAGCACCUGCUGUGGUAACGGCUCCUCUGCUAAUGCUUCUGGGAGACACCUUCAUACGGCCAGCGCCAGGAGGCGAGAGGAGAGGAAAGGAAGUCUUCUCUUCACGCCCUCCUGGGGCCCGUCUUGGCGUUGUGUGUGGUGGAGGGGGACGAAUCUGGGGUCCGCAGUCGCAGCCUCCUCUUGCUGCUGCCGCCUUCAUCCCCGAAAUCCUGCUCCUAACCAUCAAUAGGAACCCUGAAAAAAGUCAGAGGUGUGAAGUGCACACAUAACCCUGGGCCACAAACUCGGUCCCGGACGCCACAGGACAAUCGCUCACCAGGACCACACAUCCUGGCCGGAAGAUGGGCGGGUACCGCGGCUCCCGAUGCUUCCGGCUCCUCUAGGAAGAGGCUCUGGGUGGUGGCCUCACGCGCCCCCUCCGGGGAGGGAGCCGCCGCGGGGUUUGAGGGCGCAGUAGGCUCCCGUCCUAGCGGGUCGCAGCUCCUUACAAGAUUUUGAAAUGUUGGUGGAUUAAUCUUCUAGAAGGGUGCUAGGUCUCCCCGUUUCCCCCGCCACCAACUUUAGAGUUGUGGUGUACAAGCGCUAUCUUUUCUGAUGUUAUAUCCCAUAGGAAUAUUUUCAGUGACAUAAUCAAGUUUAAGCAUUAAGAACUAGGGCCCUGGAAUAAAAUGUGCGUUAAAAUCCUGGUUCUACCACUUACUAUGUGAUCUUUAGCAAGAUAGUUAACUUCACUACAGCUCAAUUUUCUCAUCUAUAAAAUGUGAAAAAUAAUAGUUACAAAAUGAGAUAGGACAUACUAGCACACUACCUGUAAAAAACUGUGGGCUCAACAUUACCUUAAAAAACAAUCCAAAUAUUGUGUUACUUAGAUCCCGUCAGGACAUUUUUAAAGUCAU
rnacentral:lncRNA from 1 species